AUUGAACGCUGGCGGCAGGCCUAACACAUGCAAGUCGAACGGUAGCACAGAGAGCUUGCUCUCGGGUGACGAGUGGCGGACGGGUGAGUAACGUCUGGGAAACUGCCCGAUGGAGGGGGAUAACUACUGGAAACGGUAGCUAAUACCGCAUAACGUCGCAAGACCAAAGUGGGGGACCUUCGGGCCUCACACCAUCGGAUGUGCCCAGAUGGGAUUAGCUAGUAGGUGGGGUAAUGGCUCAUCUAGGCGACGAUCCCUAGCUGGUCUGAGAGGAUGACCAGCCACACUGGAACUGAGACACGGUCCAGACUCCUACGGGAGGCAGCAGUGGGGAAUAUUGCACAACGGGCGCAAGCCUGAUGCAGCCAUGCCGCGUGUAUGAAGAAGGCCUUCGGGUUGUAAAGUACUUUCAGCGGGGAGGAAGGCGGUGAAGUUAAUAGCUUCACCGAUUGACGUUACCCGCAGAAGAAGCACCGGCUAACUCCGUGCCAGCAGCCGCCGUAA
rnacentral:rRNA from 1 species